GGGGGGGGGGAUGAAAGGUUUUAUGGAGAAUAGCUGUUUUAAAAGAAAAAAUUGAAUUUAAGUCCUUCAUAAAAACUUGAAGGGGGGCUCAAGGGACGAGAAGACCCUGUGGAUUUUUAUUUAUUAGAAAAUAGAUUUUAUAAUAUUUUAUUUUUUGUUUAAAUUUGGUUGGGACGACAGUAAAGUUAACUUUAUCAAAAAGAUAAUUAAGACCCUUUUUAAGGGAUAAAGAACAAAUUACCCCAGGGAUAACAGCGUAAUACUUUUGGACAGGACAAAUGGAUAAAAGUGUUUGCGACCUCGAUGUUGAAAUUAA
rnacentral:rRNA from 1 species